UAUUCAGUCUGCGUUCCUACGGUAUUUCUCCUCAUGCUCACAUUCGCAUUGGCUUUUGUUUCUUGAGGAACGUCGAUGCUAUUAUCUUUUGCGGCAUUGUCUGGCUCGAUUUUGGAUUUCUUUCCUCCUCGAUUUGUAAAUACUCUUGCUUUUGGUGGCGGACGUUUGGAAGCACAAGCAGCUUUACAGUUCUAAACUACGGAGUACAUUCUUAUAAAAGCAUGAAGUAUUUGAACCCAGGGCGACGGUAGACCUCGACGGCGUUUCGUUCUAUUUUGUAACGCGCCGUAAGAAGUAAGAGCGUGCAGCACCUCUGUAUAAUGACUUCAGUGCUAAAACUCGGAGCAAUUUCAGAAUAAUAUCUCAACUUGCAGUUUUUUUAUUUGGAUUUCAGACUCACAGCGCAAGGCAAGCAGUUUGAAAACGAGCUUCUUGAGGGAGGCAACGACAGCGUUGACCGAGGUUUACAAAGAUGUUCCUGCAGAGGAUCAGCCCAGUCCAGUGGUGCAAUGAGGGGAAAUUACGGAAUGACUGAUGAGAAAAUGGACCAGCUGAUUAGAAAUCAGCAAAAAUCCUUAAAAGACAAAACCAAAAAAGUCUUCAGUAAAGCUAAGUGAAAUGUCCAUUGUUGGUGUAAAAUGUCCGCUUUAGUAGGUUUUUUAAUCAUAGAGAUAUUUUAGCUUGCCUUGCACUUUUUGUUGUAUACCAACUUUUUGUCGAAUUUGGUUUUGUCUUUUAACGAUUUUUGCUGAUUUCUAUAACGUUAUAGAAGUCACUGUUCACGUUGUAUCCGAAAAUUAUAAAGUUGAUUAUCAAAUUUUGAGAUAAUUGUAAAUUUGUUCUGUAUUCUAAAAAUAAAAUUAUUUGCUGGAAAA